rnacentral:rRNA from 1 species
GCUAAACGCGAAGAACCUUACCACCUUUUGACAUGCCCGGACCACCAGAGAGAUCUGGCUUUCCCUUCGGGGACUGGGACACAGGUGCUGCAUGGCUGUCGUCAGCUCGUGUCGUGAGAUGUUGGGUUAAGUCCCGCAACGAGCGCAACCCACGCCAUUAGUUGCCAUCAUUUAGUUGGGCACUCUAAUGGGACCGCCGGUGGUAAGCCGGAGGAAGGUGUGGAUGACGUCAAGUCCUCAUGGCCCUUACAGGGUGGGCUACACACGUGCUACAAUGGGAGUGACAGUGAGCAGCGAGGUCGCGAGGCCAAGCUAAUCCCUAAAAGCCAUCUCAGUUCAGAUUGUAGUCUGCAACUCGACUACAUGAAGUUGGAAUCGCUAGUAAUCGUGAAUCAGCAUGUCACGGUGAAUACGUUCCCGGGUCUUGUAC